UUAUCGGCCAUACCACGUUGAAUAUACCGGUUCUUGUCCCAUCACCGAAGCUAAACAACGUUGGGCCCGGGUAGUACUUGGAAGAGCGGACGCGGUGCCGCCUAAA
rfam:Tropilaelaps mercedesae isolate Wuxi-XJTLT scaffold0000033142, whole genome shotgun sequence.